CCUACGGGUGGCAGCAGUGAGGAAUAUUGGUCAAUGGACGAGAGUCUGAACCAGCCAAGUAGCGUGAAGGAUGACUGCCCUAUGGGUUGUAAACUUCUUUUAUAUGGGAAUAAAAUGUUCCACGUGUGGGAUUUUGUAUGUACCAUAUGAAUAAGGAUCGGCUAACUCCGUGCCAGCAGCCGCGGUAAUACGGAGGAUUCGAGCGUUAUCCGGAUUUAUUGGGUUUAAAGGGAGCGUAGGUGGAUUUUUAAGUCAGUUGUGAAAGUUUGCGGCUCAACCGUAAAAUUGCAGUUGAAACUGGCAGUCUUGAGUACAGUAGAGGUGGGCGGAAUUCGUGGUGUAGCGGUGAAAUGCUUAGAUAUCACGAAGAACUCCGAUUGCGAAGGCAGUUCACUGGACUGCAACUGACACUGAGGCUCGAAAGUGUGGGUAUCAAACAGGAUUAGAUACCCGGGUAGUC
rnacentral:rRNA from 1 species